rnacentral:lncRNA from 1 species
GAGGGGGGCUUUCUUGUGUGGGGAAAAUGGUCCCCUUGCUCUGAUUAUUUAAUUGUCUUAGAGUACACCCUUGAUUUUGACGAAGGUUCGCUAGUGAUUCUGGUAUUGUGUUGGUUUUGGUUGUUGUCCUCGUUCACCUUGAUAGAUAUAUUCCUGAGUAGUGUUAUGGGUUUAACGUUUUGGAUGCAACACCCUGAUGAGCAACU